GAAUCAGCAAGGCCAUAUGCUCCACCUCCUCUACGUAAAACCCCAAAUGAAAACGCUUACUGUUAGCUUUUUGAGGAGUGUGGGAUUUCAGCAUUAGCUGCCCUUUCUCCUUUCUCAGUGGUGUGCAAUAAUAAAACUCCUAUUUUCUUCCACUACACCUGGUGUCAGAGAUUGGAUUGCUGUGCAACAGAUGUGAAGGGAAUCAACGUCUUUACAAUAGCAAGCCGUCCCAUCUGUGAACAUAAUGCAUCUCCCAUUACCAAGAUUCUUUUGCACGACUGCUACAUCAAGCUAUUUCCAUGGCACAAAACUCAUCUCUCUAUAUAGUUGGAAACCGAGUGAUCUAGCCAGUGACUCUGUGUCAAUGUAACUUUGCUGAAAACGAUUUCAACUUACAGUAUAUUAUAAGCGUAGUUCUACCCUUUCUUCAGAAUCCAAGCUCAACAUUCCAUAAAUGACUGGGGAGCCUACUGGAAGAAUUGCAUCUUACCAAUUCCAAGGACAGAGCGAUCUUUAAAAGAAUGCUAAAGAAAGAGAUUUAGAACAUUUCUC
rnacentral:lncRNA from 1 species